GCAAGAAGCCAGGAAUCUUCAGAUUGCAGAGGUCUAGGGGAACAGUGUGCUCCCGGGAGGCCAGAAUUGUCCUCAGGGACCAGGAGUUUAGGUCCAGGCUUGCUUUGCCCUAACUGAAUCACUGGCCUGACUGUGCUAUAGUUUGCUCAUCUGCAACAUGUGACAGGCAUCCUUCCAACAAGGGCUGCUAUGAGGAUCAAAUGAGAUGCUAUUUGGGAAGCGCAACUGACCGCAGGUCCCAGAGAAGUUGUGGUCUGAACAGCAGCCUGCGUUGUGAAGCCCACAGUUCACCUCUCCCCAGCUCCUCCUCUUCCUGACUUUCCUAAAGAGAUCACACCCACAGCCCCUUAAUUAUCCAUAUGCUGACUAGUGGCUGACUUGGUUCAGAGAAAUCUGAAGGGACACAAGCAGGUAGGAAAUCCAAAAACGCACUGUGGAACAAAAAAUCACCAACAAUUCGGAGCAGGCUCUGCUCAGCCCUUAAUGAGCCAAGGGAGACUUCAUUAAUCCUACUCAUAUUGAUCGCCAACAGAAAUGUUGAAGCACUCACUUUGAGCCGUGUGCACUCUGCUAAGGACUUUACCCAUAGUGUUCAAUUAAUUAUGUAACACAGCCCUGUUUAGUGGGCAUUAUUAUCAUCACUGCACCAAAGGGAAAGUGGAACUCUGAAAGCAGGCAGGUUGGUAGAAGAAAUUUCUUCCAGGGCAGCCCGGGUGGCUCAGCGGUUUAGCGCCUGCCUUCGGCCCAAGGCGUGAUCCUGGAGACCUGGGGUCGAGUCCUACAUCGGGCUCCCUGCAUGGAACCUACUUCUCCCUCUGCCUCUCUCUCUCUCUCUCUCUCUCUCUC